rnacentral:rRNA from 1 species
UACGGAGGAUCCAAGCGUUAUCCGGAUUUAUUGGGUUUAAAGGGUGCGUAGGUGGCCUGUUAAGUCAGGGGUGAAAGACGGUAGCUUAACUAUCGCAGUGCCCUUGAUACUGAUGGGCUUGAAUGAACUAGAGGUAGGCGGAAUGAUGACAAGUAGCGGUGAAAUGCAUAGAUAUGUCACAGAACACCAAUUGCGAAGGCAGCUUACUAUGGUUUUAUUGACACUGAGGCACGAAAGCGUGGGGAUCAAACAGG